CAGGUUCUGGAAGGUGUGUGUGUAGACCUCAAGAGCCUUGGCAUGGAACACCAUCUCCACUGUGAUGAAGUCUGUGAAGAUCCUCUGGAAGAAGACCUAGUAUUAUUGUCACUGCUUUGAGGGGAGUGACGACUUUGGUCUCCAGCCUCUCUAUCUGUCAGGGGUAGACACAGUAAACAGACUUUCAUCUUCAAAACAACAGUAUUUCAAGAUGGGAUACAGAAGGUAGUCCAGCAGUUCACUAGACAGUGUCACCAGACCACAGUGGCAUACCUCCACCCCUGCCCCUUAACCC